rnacentral:lncRNA from 1 species
GAAUUGUACACUUUUAUGUGAAUUUUAUAGAAUCGGAAGUCUAUCUUAACUUUCAAAAAUCAAAGAAGCAUCAAAAACAAACAAACAAACAAAAUAUGACCAGUAUUUUCUUCAUUACUUUUUUCCCUCAUCGGGCAGGGCUCUCACUCUUCUCUCUCUUCUCCUGUACAAUUUCUGUCUCUGAGCAUCUGUCCUAGAGGAAAAAGAAGAGACAUCAACUGAAGAAAAUGAAUCAGGAAAGACAGACGAAAUCUGUGGACAGACUAAAUCAUAGCAUCUCCCUUAGGAUCAGCGAUCUUGGCAAAGAUCCGCCCUGACUCCAAAGGAAGCUAUUCAAUCUCCCCGCCCAGCUCGGGAUCUCAAUCAGAAGAGCGCGGCAGCCUCACCGCCCAAGUCUGAGACUAAGAAACUGUUCAGAGUUGUAAGGGAUCCUAGAGAAAAUUACUCAGACAAAAAGAAGGCGAGGGUGUCAAGGGAGAGGAGGAAAGUGGCAGUUUGGGGGGUGCUGUCUCAAGAGCUGUGUCUCCUUUCUAGGUGUUCCAGACACUCGGGGCAGCAUGGAAGGAACUCAAGGUGAAGCUGGGAAAAGGAAACACAAAUAUGCAAAGGAGACUUUCAUUACAUCAACAGAAUGGUGUUGGAUGCUUGAGAUCCCAAGGGCUGCCAGAGCUCCCAGUACCAGAAAGCAAAACUCUUUUCCUCUUUUCCAAGGUGUGUCUCCUGCACCUUCUAUUCAAAAAAUUUCAAUGCCAACUGGCACAAGAAAAUAACUAUUUAAAAGGCCCAUGUCCCUUUUCAAAAAGCAGUCUAAUAGGGGGAAUUGGGGUGAGAACUGUAUUAGGGGGAAAAAAACUUUUUCAUUGUGUGUGUCUUUACUACUCACACAGAACACUUUACUUCUGACAUUUCUGGCCACCAAAUCUGUGGCAGUUUCCCCCCACCAACUGCACUAGCUGAAUGUCCUAGAGUUGAAAACAAUUGUGACACUAGCUCUCUGGAGAUAGCAUCAGAUUGCACAGGUUACUAGGACUCAGUCCCUUAAGACUGCUCCCAUUUCAGAUACCAGUGGAAGUUAGUAGGUCCCCAUCGUUACACACAUACAUAAACAGAAGACAUAGUUCAGUAGAUUGUUGGAAACUAAAAGUUAAAUAAAUAUGCUACAUUUGUAAAUACA